rnacentral:tRNA from 1 species
GAGCCGGUAGUAUAAGGCGUAACAUCGCUGCCCGAAUAGCAGAAGGUGCGGGUUCGAGUCCUGCCUGGCGCA